GUGCACGCUGGCGGUAGGCCUAACACCUGCAAGUCGAACGGCAGCACAGUAAGAGCUUGCUCUUACGGGUGGCGAGUGGCGGACGGGUGAGGAAUACAUCGGAAUCUACUUUUUCGUGGGGGAUAACGUAGGGAAACUUACGCUAAUACCGCAUACGACCUACGGGUGAAAGCAGGGGAUCUUCGGACCUUGCGCGAUUGAAUGAGCCGAUGUCGGAUUAGCUAGUUGGCGGGGUAAAGGCCCACCAAGGCGACGAUCCGUAGCUGGUCUGAGAGGAUGAUCAGCCACACUGGAACUGAGACACGGUCCAGACUCCUACGGGAGGCAGCAGUGGGGAAUAUUGGACAAUGGGCGCAAGCCUGAUCCAGCCAUACCGCGUGGGUGAAGAAGGCCUUCGGGUUGUAAAGCCCUUUUGUUGGGAAAGAAAAGCAGCAGGUUAAUACCCCGCUGUUCUGACGGUACCCAAAGAAUAAGCACCGGCUAACUUCGUG
rnacentral:rRNA from 1 species